AUGACUAACGACAACCACGAAGUACAUGCCAUACGUCGCAAAGGCGCAAGACCACAAAACUUAAGGCAAACCAGCAAAGCAAGUGAAAGUUCCAUACACCAAAAUAAAGCCUGCAUGGCAUGUGGGAGAAAUCACGGCAAACGAACUGACUGCCCAGCCAAAGGAAAGCAGUGUCUGAAAUGCAAAAAAUUCAACCACUUUGCAAAAGUAUGCAGAUCCAAGAGCAACGUGGAAAGAAAAACAGGUCACAGAGAGGUGCACACUGUACAAGAGGCUAAUGAUUCAGAGCCAGAGCUGUUCAUAGACACCAUAGCUGCAGAGGAUAAUGGAGACAGCCCGUUUGCAGCCAUACUACUGGGGCCAAAGAAGAUAAAACUCACCUUCAAGUUGGACACCGGAGCACAGACGAACAUCAUACCAGCCAACACGUUCCAAAUGCUACAAACUCCACUCAGGGAGGACAAGGACAAACUGUUUGGCUAUGGGGGGCACCCACUCAAAGUCAACGGACACUGUGAGUUAAUUAGCCGAUACAAAGACCGAAAAUCAGAACAGACAUUUCAUGUUGUUGACUGCAACGGCCCACCAAUAUUAGGCUUCAGAGCAUGCAAAGCCCUCGGACUCAUUAAGGUUGUGUACGCAGUGACCGAGAGCACGGAAGCAGGGCAACCCACCAAAGCACUAGACAUCAUGAGUGAAUAUUCCGACGUUUUCAAAGGCAUCGGGGAAUUCCAAGGUGAGUGUAGUUUCACCGUGGACCCGACUGUCGCACCAGUUGUGUGCCCACCAAGAAGAGUGCCUUUUGCCCUCAGAGAUCGGGUCAAAUCAGAGCUGGACAAUAUGGAAAGAGACAAAAUUAUCCAAAAGGUCACAGAGCCCACCAAAUGGGUCAAUGCUCUCGUAAUCUGCGAGAACCUGAAAAGACCCAAACUCCGGCUGUGCCUAGACCCAAGACCUCUAAACAAAGCCAUAACGAGACCACGCUAUCCACUCCCCACUCUUGAGGAUGUGACACACAAGCUUACAGGUGCAAAAUUUUUCAGCAUCCUCGACGCACGUUCCGGCUAUUGGGCCAUCAAGCUAAGUAAAGAGUCAUCCCUUUUGACUACUUUCAAUACAAUCUUUGGCAGAUACCGCUUCCUCAGGCUCCCUUUUGGCAUCGUGUCUGCUCAAGAUGAGUGCCAGAGGAUUGACGAGACCAGGGGCGAUUCUAGGAUCAGAGCUUUGGGGGUGCUGAGCACCCAGAGAGCUGCCCAUCCAGGCAAGGUAAACUUUAGUCGUCACGAUGAGACUUCUUCCCCGUCUCUGUCAGUCCCUGCAUCCUUAAAUGUCUCCAGUUGUCCCGAGUUCCCUCUGACUGUCUCCUUGGUGCAUUUAAACCCCUGUUCCUCCCUGUCCUCGUCAUCUGUUGUCUUAGUCUCCGUUAUCAGUCAUCAUAAUUUUACCAUCUCUGUGCAAGUCUGCAAAUUUCUUUAUUAA
rnacentral:lncRNA from 1 species